rnacentral:rRNA from 1 species
CGAUGGCGGGGGAUAACUACUGGAAACGGUAGCUAAUACCGCAUAACGUCGCAAGACCAAAGAGGGGGACCUUCGGGCCUCUUGCCAUCGGAUGUGCCCAGAUGGGAUUAGCUAGUAGGUGGGGUAACGGCUCACCUAGGCGACGAUCCCUAGCUGGUCUGAGAGGAUGACCAGCCACACUGGAACUGAGACACGGUCCAG